rnacentral:sRNA from 1 species
GGCCAUGCUGGAUAAGGAACUGGCUGCCUCUGUGAACAUCCUACUCAAGGCAUCUUCACUGUACUUUUAGGAGGGAAAAAUAGAAGCCACUAACAUCCUGUUAGCUGUACAUCCUUUUGAAAUCCCAGAGGUCUUCAGUCUCCCUGUGGAUUAAGGAGAUGUGCAGUAUUUAAAGUAGCUUCAGGAAGGCAUGGAAGAGGACUGA